AUUUGCUGCUGGGAAACUUGUCUUUGUUGUUUUCCUUUUUCCAUUUCAUCCUCCUGUUCUGGAACCAGAUUUUGACCUGCCUUUCUGUCAAUCCCAGGGCAUGCGAGACCUCGAUCCUCCGUUUGCGGGUCAGCCCCCUCCCUGCCUCCUCCCCCGCCGAGGACUUGUUCAAGAUGUGGUCGGGGAUGAUUGCGAACUAAAAGUAUUGUGUCGCUUAUCACACCCAGAACAGAACCUUUAUGAAUGCUGCUUAUCGGGGGACGGGUGUAUUUUCUGGUGCAACUUCGGAGAAACAUUUAUUCAGAAAAUACCUGUUUGUAACAAUUUGAAAGAAAACCUAUAGUGAAAUUAUUGCCACCAUUCCUUUCUGUUAUUUGUGGCUGAAGGACUGGAACGUCUGAAUAAUUUUUGUCUUGUAAUUUUAAAGAAACAAAGGCCGAAAUAAAAGUGAAUGGAGUUAAAAGUUUACAUUUUUGCUGCUACUGCAUCAGUGGAGUAUUUAUACAUAUCACAAAACGCGGUAAGUUAAUAGGAUUUUGGAUUAAUUUACUAUUUUGUAGCUUUUAAAAAUAUUUCCAAACAUAUUAAGUGAAGACCUUGG